CCUGCCCUGGAGGUAAGAGGCCCUGCUGCCUGUAGGUCCCUUGAUAAUCAGCCUCUUCGGGAAUGGGCAGCCUCUUUAGGAGGCAGCUAAGAAAAUUCCACGAUGGCAAAGGGACUUGCAGGAUUUCCGUCGCAUACCUCCUGGUUGGACACCUGACCGCACCCUUCCUUCCCAACAGGUCUGCUGCUCUGCCUUUUGGCUCAGAAGUCAUCUACUUGGAGGAGAUGGAGAGAAACAAGAUGACCGAUGACUGUGGAGUUGACCCAGCCUCAUCUUUCCCACAGCUGUUAGUGGUCUGAAAUCGACAAGAAAGAACCACAGGUCAACCAGCCACCCCCCGCACACAGGCCCUCCUUGAUCGGCCCCUAACACCACUGGCAGGUGUUCAGGGCUGGAGAAAUGCCAAAGGCCCUGGCCUCGCUGGGUCACCACAAGGUCAACGGGAAGGAAUUGGCCACCGUCUCCACAGCAUCAACGAGGGAGUCACACCCCAAGGUGUCGGAGCCGCCUGACCAGGACCACACACUAAUAAUCGGCGGCCCCUGAGCUCAAGCUUAGGAACUUGGUUUCCAGGUCCUCCAGCUCCUCAAGUUUACUGGGCCCCGGUGGCCACCGGGAGGGAGGAGAUGGAGAGAUAAGUGGCCUUGACCCUCAAAGAACUUAGGUUCACCUAGGGGCCCACGGCCAGGCAGUGGGGAUAAAAUGCCGACGUAGUAAGAACACGGGCUACAAUCAGAGGUCAGAGGAGUGAUGCUCACCCCAGUGCCUCCAGAUGGGAGGGGUCAGGGACAAAGGCCAGGAAGAGUGAGAUUGAACCUGGGCUUGAAAGGACAUCCCAGGCCCAUUAUUCUCUGCCAUCAUCUUCAUUGCCCUUAAAAUCAAUAAUGCAGGAGUUCCUGUCGUGGCGCAGCAGAAACGAAUCCCACUAGGAACCAUGAGGUUGUGGUUUCCAUCCCUGGCCUCGCUCAGUGGGUUAAGGAUCUGGCAUUGCCAUGAGCUGUGGUGUAGGUUGAAGACAUGGCUCGGAUCUGGCGUUUCUAUGGCUCUGGCAUAGGCCGGCAGUUACAGCUCUCAUUAGACCCCUAGCCUGGGAACCUCCAGAUGCCUCGGGUGUGGCCCUAAAAAGGAUUAUAAAAAAAAAAAAAAAUCCUAUAAUGCUUGUUGUUAGCUAUAUUUAAAUUCUAAUGAAAUGCUGAUAUUUAAAUUCUCAUUAAGUUACAUUUAAAUUCUCAAUGGGCUAUCACUGUAAUUCUCCUGGACCAACCACAAUCCCAACAUGUGCUUGUGUACCACGGGCAGCCCAGGAGACUUGAAGCUGCGUUACAGUGCCAGGCACUUAGGAAGUGCUCACCGAAUGUCUCCAAGAGGAAAGGAUGGUUGGAUCAAAGCCACAUUCUUUGCCACUCCACACUCUUCCUGAGUGACCGUCCUUGUCCCUCAGGGUAACCAAACAAACAGGCCCCCAACCUGGCUCAGGGGGGCAGACCUCAGAGCUGUGACAUUCCCCACAGGGUAAUUUCCAUCCACGGAAGUGACUAGAAGAGAGGCGUUUAAGACCCAGGAAGAAAGGCUAAAGGGACUAUGAUUAUUUCAGCAAUAACAGGAAAAACAUCAACUACACAACUUAAUAAAGAGCUUUAGGAAUAACUCA
rnacentral:lncRNA from 1 species